AAAAUAAUGCAGCAGCUUCAACGAAAUUUCUGGCCCUGCUACAGUCUGAUCCAGCUCUCGACUUCUGAACAAAAGUUGUAGAUCUUUUUCUUAGCUUUCCAUCGACUGGUAGCACGUCACAAUCCGAUACUCCUAGCUCAAGAUAUGAUUUUUCUCGCGAAAGCUGCUAAUGCUGAAAAUUAAAUACGAAAAUUAAAUAAGUGCAAAAAUAACAUAAAUUAUGAAAACACAUUAAAAC
rnacentral:lncRNA from 1 species